rnacentral:tRNA from 1 species
UAGGGAGAAGUGUAAUCGGGUGCACUUGGCUUUUUGGUGGCCGAAGAGGCAAGAAAGCUUGCCCUCUCUAU